AGUGAACGCUGGCGGUAGGCCUAACACAUGCAAGUCGAACGGCAGCACAGGAGAGCUUGCUCUCUGGGUGGCGAGAGGCGGACGGGUGAGGAAUACAUCGGAAUCUACUCUGUCGUGGGGGAUAACGUAGGGAAACUUACGCUAAUACCGCAUACGACCUACGGGUGAAAGCAGGGGACCUUCGGGCCUUGCGCGAUUGAAUGAGCCGAUGUCGGAUUAGCUAGUUGGCGGGGUAAAGGCCCACCAAGGCGACGAUCCGUAGCUGGUCUGAGCGGAUGAUCAGCCAAACUGGAACGGAGACAAGGUCCAGACUCCUACGGGAGGCAGCAGUGGGGAAUAUUGGACAAUGGGCGCAAGCCUGAUCCAGCCAUACCGCGUGGGUGAAGAAGGCCUUCGGGUUGUAAAGCCCUUUUGUUGGGAAAGAAAUCCAGCUGGCUAAUACCCGGUUGGGAUGACGGUACCCAAAGAAUAAGCACCGGCUAACUUCGUGCCAGCCGCCGCCGUAA
rnacentral:rRNA from 1 species